rnacentral:rRNA from 1 species
UGAGCAAUCUGCCCUUCUCAUCGGAAUAAGCGCUGGACACGACGUCUAAUGCCGAAUACGACCUCCUUUCGCAUGAUCGGAGGUGGAAAGCUCCGGCGGAGAAGGAUGAGCUCGCGGCCUAUCAGCUAGUUGGUGUGGGUAAUGGCCCACCAAGGCGACGACGGGUAGCCGGCCUGAGAGGGUGACCGGCCACACUGGGACUGAGACACGGCCCAGACCUCUACGGGAGG